rnacentral:lncRNA from 1 species
ACCUUCUAGAUCUUUUGCGAGCAAUGAUAUCCAUUCUUUUAAUCCUAUUCGACUUUUGUGUUUUGCUUGAAUUCAUUCUACAAUGCGAAAUAAUGAUUUUAUUCCAGAGGUGUGCAAAACUCAAAAUAAAUAUAAAAAAACACAUGAACUAAGGUACGAUAUAUUGUAAAUGGUAUCAAAAUUUGUGAAGAAUAAGUGUUAG